rnacentral:rRNA from 1 species
AACGAACGCUGGCGGCAUGCCUAACACAUGCAAGUCGAACGAGACCUUCGGGUCUAGUGGCGCACGGGUGCGUAACGCGUGGGAAUCUGCCCUUUGCUUCGGAAUAACAGUUAGAAAUGACUGCUAAUACCGGAUGAUGUCUUCGGACCAAAGAUUUAUCGGCAAAGGAUGAGCCCGCGUAGGAUUAGGUAGUUGGUGGGGUAAAGCCUACCAAGCCGACGAUCCUUAGCUGGUCUGAGAGGAUGAUCAGCCACACUGGGACUGAGACACGGCCCAGACUCCUACGGGAGGCAGCAGUGGGAAUAUUGGACAAUGGGCGAAAGCCUGAUCCAGCAAUGCCGCGUGAGUGAU